AUGAAAUAAUUUGUUUCUUUCAUUUUCUUACAGCAAUGAUUGAUAGUGUAGGUGGGCCGGUGAGGGUCAACAAUUUGUUGUCAACACUAAAUAUACCAACAAUUGGAAAUAAAAACAUGAAAAGAAAUGGAGAGACGUGUUGGAAAUAUCAUUGAGACAGCACUGGCUUCUAUGCCGACAGAAUCUGCUGCAUAAGAUCAAGGAAAUGGAGGAUGUGCAUCAUGAAGAAUCAAUGGUAUCAGAACACAAGAUCAUGGAAGAUCUUAUUGACAAGAUCUCGGAGGAUGUCCUUUGCCAGAUGUUUGCCAGCACUAAAUUCUCACAGACAGUCAAAGGUUGAAAACAAAUCAGAAGUGGUCCACAUCUUAAAAAACCUCACAGCAGAUUAAGACUUUCCCCGAAAUUUCCCUGUAAAACCCGCAGUGGUAUGUCCAGUGCAGUAGAUACUGCCUGGCACAAAAGAGGAUUUGACAGUUUAACAUUGUACUGCACCAAUAAACUAAAUAUGGAGAGAAGCUUAGUCACCAAAGCAGUCAACACCAAAAUACACACAAUGGCCAGGGCACUGAAACUUGGAAGAGUGAAAGAGUAAAGUAGUGCGUUUUUAGCUAACAAAGUGACAUUGCGAGCUUUUGUCUAUCUUUCGUCCGUAAACUUGAUCUUUAAACAACAUCUCAUAAAUUGCCAAGCCAAUUUCAUGCAAACUUACGAUAUUGUCUAGUCAGUUUUUGUUUUGCUUGCAAUCGCUAUAUGACAUGACUAAAGACAUUUAGUUUUAUUCUUCAGUUAUUAUGUUUAUGUUUGUAUAAGACCAAAAUAUAUUGUUAAGAUUCAUUUUUACAAAUUUGAAAGCCACUAUUGUUCUAGUCAGUUUUUGUUUUGCUUGCAAUCAUUAUAUUACAUGGCUAAAGACAUUUAGUUUUAAUCUUUAAUAGUUAUGUCUAUAUUUGUAUAAGACCCAAAAAUAUUGUUGAGAUUCAUUUUUACAAUUUUGAAAGCCAUUAUUGCUCUAGUUUGUUUUUGUUUUGCUUGCAAUUGUUAUAUGACAUGACUAAAGACAUUUAGUUUAAAUCUUUAGUUAUUAUGUCUAUGAGGGGCGUCCGUGGCCGAGUGGUUAAGGUCAUUGACUUCAAACCACUUGCCCCUCACCGCUGUGGGUUGGAAUCCCGACAGGGACUUUGGAAUCUGUCUUGUGAGGAAGCUAUCCAGCUAGCUUAACUGAACGUCAGUGGUUCUACUCAGA